GAUGAACGCUGGCGGCGUGCCUAAUACAUGCAAGUCGAGCGAUCGGACGAGAAGCUUGCUUUUCUGAUGUUAGCGGCGGACGGGUGAGUAACACGUGGAUAACCUACCUAUAAGACUGGGAUAACUUCGGGAAACCGGAGCUAAUACCGGAUAAUAUUUUGAACCGCAUGGUUCAAAAGUGAAAGACGGUCUUGCUGUCACUUAUAGAUGGAUCCGCGCUGCAUUAGCUAGUUGGUAAGGUAACGGCUUACCAAGGCAACGAUGCAUAGCCGACCUGAGAGGGUGAUCGGCCACACUGGAACUGAGACACGGUCCAGACUCCUACGGGAGGCAGCAGUAGGGAAUCUUCCGCAAAGGGCGAAAGCCUGACGGAGCAACGCCGCGUGAGUGAUGAAGGUCUUCGGAUCGUAAAACUCUGUUAUUAGGGAAGAACAUAUGUGUAAGUAACUGUGCACAUCUUGACGGUACCUAAUCAGAAAGCCACGGCUAACUACGUG
rnacentral:rRNA from 1 species